CAAGGUAAUAGAUCCUUAAAUAAUAAAGUGAAAGGGGAGAUAGGAAAGUUGGGUGGGAACAAAACUAGCUCAGUGUGUUAGAGAGAUUAUUGUUUGAGUUCCCAGUAUUUAACGGCUGGGUUCGCAGUGGGGCAACUGAAUUCAGCAGCAGUGUUGUUCUGGCCAGUUAUUCGGUGGGAAUGUCGACCUGAGCAACAACACCGUGAAAAAGCCAGAGGGCCUGUAGAAGCAGCCGGAAUCAACGGAGCACAGACAAUUCAGAUUCUUCAUCCAGGGACUGCUGCCGCACUGAAGCCAAGACUCACUAACAGCCACUGCUAGGAAGGUGACAACACCUCACGAUAAACUCUUGACAAUCAUAUAACUCUGCUGGCAGUCGGCUUAGGAGAUCAGAGAAAUGGAAUAGGAACUUUCGUGGUAUCCCUUGUAGGAGAAAAGAUUAAAGUGUAGCACAGAACAGAGCUCCUUUUGUGGCAAGGCCAAAGAACGUCAAUGCAACAACCAAACACCAUAUGCCAGGAAACCUGAACAUUCUGUUAGGCACAAACCCCGUUGGAGGACAAAUUCACCUCAAGACUACAAGCUUCUGGGAUUGAAAAAAGUCCACCUGAUAAUACAACAAUUCUUACAGAGUGAAAGACAAGAACUAGAUAGGAUUUUGCUCCUGCCUAUCAAAGCUUAUAAGAACUAUUUUGGUAUUCAUUGACAUUAUUAACAUUUGUAUUUUUCUUAUAAUAUUUAACUUUAAAUCUAUGUAUAUCCAUCAAUUUUCAUUAAAUAUUUCUGGAUAACAUGUCUGUUGCUUUGGAAAGCCCACAUUUUAGUUAAAAAAAGA
rnacentral:lncRNA from 1 species